CUCAGGAGACUGAGGCAGGAGAAUUGCUUGAACCCAGGAGGCGGAGGUUGUGGUGACCCAGGGUCAUGCUACUGCACUCCAGCCUGGGCAACAGAGCAAGACCCUGUCUCCAAAAGGAAAAAA